UAUAAUUUAAAGUAGGGCCUGCCCACUGAAGUAUUAAAGGGCCGCAGUAUUUUGACUGUGCAAAGGUAGCAUAAUCAUUAGUUUUUUAAUUGAAAGCUUGUAUGAAUGGUUUGAUGAGAAAAUAACUUUCUAUAUUUAAAUUUUUGAAAAUUUUAUUUUUAAGUUAAAAAGCUUAAAUUUUUUUAUUAGACGAGAAGACCCUGUAGAGUUUUAUUUUAUUAAUUUUUUAAAUUUUUAGAAUUUAGAAAUUUUAAUUUUUAAUAAAAUUUGGUUGGGGUGACUGAAAAAUUGAAUAAACUUUUUUUAUAUUUAUACAUAUAUUUAUG
rnacentral:rRNA from 1 species